UACGUAGGGUGCGAGCGUUGUCCGGAAUUAUUGGGCGUAAAGGGCUCGUAGGCGGUCUGUCACGUCGGGAGUGAAAAACUCGGGGCUUAACCCCGAGCCUGCUUCCGAUACGGGCAGACUAGAGGUAUGCAGGGGGAGAACGGAAUUCCUGGUGUAGCGGUGAAAUGCGCAGAUAUCAGGAGGAACACCGGUGGCGAAGGCGGUUCUCUGGGCAUUACCUGACGCUGAGGAGCGAAAGUGUGGGGGAGCGAACAGG
rnacentral:rRNA from 1 species